GGCCGGGGCUCAUAUGACUGCCCUUUCUCCCAUUCGGCUGAAUCCACAAACAGGAGCAUAACGGUUCCCUUGGGGGUGGAGUAGAAUGCAGUGGGCCUACACUCAUCAAUGCAGACGUUCUCCCUCCCUGCCCACGCACAUCGUGUCUGUCAUAAUGAGAGUCAUUUUACUUCUUUGGUAGAAAAGCAGCUUCCUGAUAUGAUCCAAGAAGCGUGGUUACCGAUGUCACUGGUAAUGGAAGAGUAACCCGGCAACAUGAAUGGCGGCGACAGGAAGGUGUUCCCCAGCAACACAUCAGAGUUACAUUAGAGAGAUGCAAAACGUAAAAGCGGAGAUGCCAAGUGGCUUACAAAAUACGAAAAUGCCUAUUUAACUAAACAGAGAACAAAAGAUACAAUACAACAUGACUUGGGCUAGUCCUGGAUCUGCUGGCCUGGUAUGCUGAGGGCCACAGGCAACAGGCCAUGAGGAUUUUUUUGCCACAAUUAGGCAAAAUACCUGCAACAGAAGAGGAACACAAGCUCAGCCCCAAUUUCAACCAGCUAGCAAAGAAACGUUCCCAACCUUCCCAUCCUGCUGGAAAUACCUCUGGCAACACCCACACAAAAUAACUGCAAUGUAAUUAUGGGAUUCCUACUUUAAGAAUAUUAUUUAAGUUACAGUUAAAGCUUGCCCUUCAUCCCAGGAAUAUGCUGGCAUUCUUUGGGUUUUUCCAAUUUUUAUCCUCGCAACAAUCCUGCAAAGUAGGUCACAAUGAGAGACAAUGAUUUCAUGGCUAAGCAAGAUCCAGAGGAGUUAGAUGCAGAGGAUGCAUCUGACGAAGAGAGCUGUGGCUCUCGAAAGCUUUUGCUACAAUAAAGUUGGUUAGUCUUAAAGGUACUACUGGACUCUUUACUAUAUGGCUAAGCAAGGGUCUGAAUCCAGGUCUCAAAUGCAAUAUAAUUUAUGUCUCAAAUGCAA